rnacentral:rRNA from 1 species
GAUGAACGCUGGCGGCGUGCCUAAUACAUGCAAGUCGAGCGAACAGACGAGGAGCUUGCUCCUUCGACGUUAGCGGCGGACGGGUGAGUAACACGUAGGUAACCUACCUAUAAGACUGGGAUAACUUCGGGAAACCGGAGCUAAUACCGGAUAAUAUUUCGAACCGCAUGGUUCGAUAGUGAAAGAUGGCUUUGCUAUCACUUAUAGAUGGACCUGCGCCGUAUUAGCUAGUUGGUAAGGUAACGGCUUACCAAGGCAACGAUACGUAGCCGACCUGAGAGGAUGAUCGGCCAAACUGGAACUGAGACACGGUCCAGACUCCUACGGGAGGCAGCAGUAGGGAAUCUUCCGCAAUGGGCGAAAGCCUGACGGAGCAACGCCGCGUGAGUGAUGAAGGUCUUCGGAUCGUAAAACUCUGUUAUUAGGGAAGAACAAACGUGUAAGUAACUGUGCACGUCUUGACGGUACCUAAUCAGAAAGCCACGGCUAACUACGUG